rnacentral:rRNA from 1 species
CAGUCGCCACGGGAAUACGCAGGGGACUAGCGUUGCUCGGAAUUACUGGGCGUAAAGGGAGCGUAGGCGGGUCGUUUAGUCAGAGGUGAAAUCCCGGGGCUCAACCUCGGAACUGCCUUUGAUACUGGCGACCUUGAGUAUGGGAGAGGUAAGCGGAACUCCGAGUGUAGAGGUGAAAUUCGUAGAUAUUCGGAAGAACACCAGUGGCGAAGGCGGCUUACUGGCCCAUUACCGACGCUGAGGCUCGAAAGCGUGGGGAGCAAACAGGAUUAGAUACCCGCGUAGUCCCUGUCUCUUAUAU